rnacentral:rRNA from 1 species
GCAUAUCAAUAAGCGGAGGAAAAGAAACCAACAGGGAUUGCCCUAGUAACGGCGAGCGAAGCGGCAACAGCUCAAAUUUGAAAUCUGGCUAUUUUGUAGUCCGAGUUGUAAUUUGUAGAGGAUGCUUUUGGUGAGGUGCCUUCCGAGUUCCCUGGAACGGGACGCCAGAGAGGGUGAGAGCCCCGUACGGUUGGAUACCAAACCUUUGUAUAGCUCCUUCGACGAGUCGAGUAGUUUGGGAAUGCUGCUCUAAAUGGGAGGUAUAUCUCUUCUAAAGCUAAAUAUAGGCUAGAGACCGAUAGCGCACAAGUAGAGUGAUCGAAAGAUGAAAAGCACUUUGAAAAGAGAGUUAAACAGCACGUGAAAUUGUUGAAAGGGAAGCGCCUAUGACCAGACUUGUUUCUUUCAGUUUUGUUAGUUUUCGGACUGAUUUACUCUGUUAGUACAGGCCAGCAUCAGUUUGUUGUCAGGGAGAAAGGCUUAGGGAAUGUGGCUCUUUCGGGAGUGUUAUAGCCCUUUGCAUAAUACCUUUCGGCAGACUGAGGACCGCGCUUCGGCAAGGAUGCUGGCGUAAUGGUCAUCAGCGACCCGUCUUGAAACACGGACCAAGGAGUCAACCUUAUGUGCGAGUGUUUGGGUGUAAAACCCCAGCGCGUAAUGAACGUGAACGUAGGUGAGAGCUUCGGCGCAUCAUCGACCGAUUCUGAUGUUCUCGGAUGGAUUUGAGUAAGAGCACACAGGGUUGGACCCGAAAGAAGGUGAACUAUGCUUGUAUAGGGUGAAGCCAGAGGAAACUCUGGUGGAGGCUCGCAGCGGUUCUGACGUGCAAAUCGAUCGUCAAAUAUGAGCAUGGGGGCGAAAGACUAAUCGAACCUUCUAGUAGCUGGUUCCAGCGA